rnacentral:lncRNA from 1 species
ACGGAUCAGAUAUCCGUUCCUAAAAAUGUUAUUGCUUCAUUUUUACGGAUAUCGCAUAUUAAUAUUUGCUUUGCUUAGUAGCGGAUUUUUCAGUUCGAAUCAGAACGUAUAGCAAAUCGAAUCAAAAUUUACAGAUAUUUUGCCAAAUCCUAAUAGCUAUAAUAUUAGGUGAUACUUUGAUGGUUCAGAAGAUUGAGAUUAUUAAUAAAAAAACCAUUAAACUUGAUUAGUUUAUCUACUAUAUUAUAUGCAAAUGUAAGAAUAUGAAUUUUCAAAAAAAAAAAAAAAAAUUGGUUCAGUUAGAUAUAUCUUGCCCCUACAUGUAUGUAGAUACAUAAUUGAUGUCCUCUAAUAAGCUAUCGUUGAUUUUAGCUUUUGAUAGGCACACAGUGGCCCUAUUAGAUGAAUGAAAUUUAUAUCUCUAUACCUUCUAAAUGUACAUUUUGAAUUUCAAAAUACAUUCAGAAUAAAACUUAUCACUUAAUUUUUCAUGUUCGAAACUCAUGUCAAACAGUAUGAUAAUCAAUUCACUUUAUAGCAUUAUGUGUGUUCUUUCUAAAACCGUUCAGAUUAACCCAUAGGAUAUAUGAAAAAAAAACUAUCUUUUACGCGCAGAUUUAUUAUGAGAUGUAAAAUAUAGGGAAGUAGUAGGAGUAAAAAGGGUGAAGUUGAAGAGCAAGGCCUACCCAUCACGGAGACACAAAGCCAGUUUUCAUACACGUUUAUUUGUCAAAAAAUUUAAAUAUAAAUAUAAUAAUUACACAAAUAUCAG